CUUUCCUCCGCUGUAUAGCUUUCUUCAACGGUUCAACCCAACCAAGAAAUCAGAAGAAAGGAGAACAAAAAGUUUGAAGGUUUGAAGAAGCUAAGGAUAUAUAUACAAUAUUGCAUUGAUUUACUCACCGACAAUGCUAAUGUCAAAAGGGUCGAACUCCAGGUCUUGGCAAGGAAGUUUAAGAAGCUUGAAAACACUGAAUAAAUUUAAAGACUCGUGUGCAUGUGGUGCACAUAAUAGCUUUAGUUAAUUGUUUUAAAUGGUAUUCUCGUAUAAUUAUGUUCAUUUUUUAAUAAUAUUGACAUUUGAUCUUGUGUUCUUUUAUAAAUUCUUUAAUGUUCUUUGUAAUAAACUUUAUGCUUUAUAUAAUAUACUUUCAUGUUC